rnacentral:pre_miRNA from 1 species
AACAAUUGUUUGGUUUCCAUAUCCAACGUUUGACCGUCCAUCUUAUAUAAAAUUAUUUUAUGAUUAAUAUUUUUAUUAUUAUUAGAUGAUAAAACACGAAUAAUACUUUAUGCAUGACUUAUCUUUUUAAAUUUUUUCAUAAUUUUUUAAAUAAGACAAACGGUCAAACGUUAGACACGGAAACCCAGGAAUUGAGUUUUU